AGGUGAACACGUUGAAACAUCCA
rnacentral:siRNA from 1 species